CCAUGUUCUUCAUCUCUUUGAUUUGCACGGUUUUCGCAUUGCCUCCAAUUCAAGCUUGUACACCUUGUACUCAGCCACACCCAUCAAAACCACACCCUCCACAUCAUCCAUCACAUCCACCACAACCACCUUCCCACACUCCAACCCAUCCCAAAAACCCACCAACCCCAAAACAACCACCACACCAUAAACCGCACCCAAAAGCCCCAUCCAAGAACCCACCGGUUAUAUCCCCGCCCAUAGUAAAACCUCCACCGCACCCAAAACCCCCAUCCAAGAACCCACCCGUUAUAUCCCCGCCCAUAGUAAAACCUCCAGUCACUAACCCUCCUGUGACAAUCCCACCCCCUUCCACUCCUUACCCCGGCAGCCCUCCUGGUGGUGGAGGAGGCGGAGGGGGCGGAGGGGGCGGAGGG
rnacentral:lncRNA from 1 species